UGAUAGUCGAUCGUAGAGUCGGUAACUUGCUACUGAUCUUAGCGGCGGACGGGUGAUUAAUGCUUAGGAAUCUGCCUAUUAGUGGGGGACAACAUUUCGAAAGGAAUGCUAAUACCGCAUACGUCCUACGGGAAAAAGCAGGGGAUCUUCGGACCUUGCGCUAAUAGAUGAGCCUAAGUCGGAUUAGCUAGUUGGGGGGGUAAAGGCCUACCAAGGCGACAAUCUGUAGCGGGUCUGAGAGGAUGAUCCGCCACACUGGGACUGAAACACGGCCCAAACUCCUACGGGAGGCAGCAGUGGGGAAUAUUGGACAAUGGGCGCAACCCUGAUCCCCCCCUGCCGCGUGUGUGAAAAAGGCCUUAUGGUUGUAAAGCACUUUAAGCGAGGAGGAGGCUACUUUAGUUAAUACCUAAAGAUAGUGGACGUUACUCGCAGAAUAAGCACCGGCUAACUCUGUGCCAGCAGCCGCGGUAAUACAGAGGGUGCAAGCGUUAAUCGGAUUUACUGGGCGUAAAGCGCGCGUAGGCGGCUAAUUAAGUCAAAUGUGAAAUCCCCGAGCUUAACUUGGGAAUUGCAUUCCCAUACUGGUUAGCUAAAGUGUGGGAGAAGGAUGGGACAAAUUCCCGGUGUAGACGCUGCAAAUGCGUAGAGAUCUUGGAUUAACACCGAUGAACGAAAGCGUCAUCUGUCCUAUUAUCUCGCAACUUAGAUGCGCAACGUGUGGAGGAGAUAGGACUAAA
rnacentral:rRNA from 1 species